AUUGAACGCUGGCGGCAGGCCUAACACAUGCAAGUCGAACGAGUGGCGGCCGGGUGAGUAAUGUCUGGGAAACUGCCCGAUGGAGGGGGAUAACUACUGGAAACGGUAGCUAAUACCGCAUACCAUCGGAUGUGCACAGAUGGGCUUAGCUCGGAGGUGGGGUAACGGCUCCCCUGGGCGACGAUCCCUAGCUGGUCUGAGCGGAUGACCAGCCACACUGGAACUUAGACACGGUCCAGCCUCCUACGGUAGGCAGAAUUGGGUAAUAUUGCACAAUGUGCGCAAGCCUGAUGCAGCCAUGCCGGUUGUAUGAAGAAGGCCUUCGGGUUGUAAAGUACGUUCAGCGAGGAGGCGUUACUCGCAGAAGAAGCACCGGCUAACUCCGUGCCAGCAGCCGCGGUAAUUC
rnacentral:rRNA from 1 species